rnacentral:rRNA from 1 species
UACGGGGGGGGCAAGCGUUGUUCGGAAUUACUGGGCGUAAAGGGCUCGUAGGCGGCCAACUAAGUCAGACGUGAAAUCCCUCGGCUUAACCGGGGAACUGCGUCUGAUACUGGAUGGCUUGAGGUUGGGAGAGGGAUGCGGAAUUCCAGGUGUAGCGGUGAAAUGCGUAGAUAUCGGAAGGAACAUCAGUGGCGAAAGCGGCUUCCUGGACCAGUACCGACGUCAGGCACGAAAGCGUGGGGAGCAAACAGG